GGGAUCUCUCCUCACUCUUUCUCUCUCUUCACCGAACUUAUCUCUCUUCACUCUAUAAGGAAAGAGAAGACACCAAAUCCGAGAAAAAAAGAGAAUAUAAAAGCUCUUAUUCUUUUCUUUUUUAUUUUCAUUUGCUUUUAAGAAUCAGAGAGAAAAGGAGAGAGAGACAGAUAGAGAUACAGACUCUAGAGAGAGAGAGAGAUUAUAGAGUUGGCCCAUCGGAUCAACGAAGACGAUCUGAGAGUUUCUUUCCUUCUCUUCUCCCAUGGAGUUUUGAUUUUUCCGUACUUUCUUGUUAACUGUUUCUUAGAUUUUCUCUCUCUCUCUCUCUCUGCGAAAAACUGUUUUUAAUAUUUUUGGUAUUUAAUACUCAUUAUCUCGGAAAUAACAUUUUUAUUUAAAUACUAUAACUUUUUUUUUAAUUUCCAUAUUGUUAAUUCGUAUAAUAAUUGUCGCCGAUUUGGGAGUGAGUGUUUGAGAGAUUUUCUCUGUUCAAACGAGCGAUUAGAGAGGAUGUGGGUCUGAGGAUUAGGGAGACCAUGGUUCACUGUGAAAGCUUCUUGUCUUCAAUGAGGGAUCUCAGCCAAGAUUCAAACAAUUGCGGCCGGCCGUCGGGAGAUAAAAAUCUGCAAUAUCAUCAGAAUGGUUUCUCCAUGAGAGCUCCACCCCCAGAGGAAGCCUCUUACUUUGGACAAGAGAGAGAUUUUCUGAAGCAAACCAUGCUUCAACAUGACCCGUUUUCAAGAAUCAGGUUCAUGAACUUCACCGUUUGUAUAGAACACAAAAGAGCUUGAUGGAUGAAGUUAAAGGAAACAGCCGGUCUGAACACACCCCGGAGAGCGCCAUCAAACGCGACCUUCCCGCAUUUCUUUGGGAAAAUCGGUGUGUGGUAGGAAGCAGCUCCCAAGCUUGCACCGUUUCUAUUAUGAAGGACGAGGAGGAGGAGGUUAGACCAGUGAAGGUCAGGAGAAGAAUGAUUGAUCUUCAACUACCCGCGGAUGAGUAUCUCGAUGAUGCAGCCAGAUCAUGGUCCUUCUCCUCCUCAAGAAGAAGCUGGUGAAAAGCAGCUAGGCAAUAAUGCU